UGAAUGUGUUAACUUUACAACAGAGUAUUCAAGGGAUCAGCAAGAUCACAGAGGGGUACAACCCAGCAACCUGGAUGCUUGAAGUCUCAACCACUUCUCAAGAAGCUGCUCUAGGAGUCGAUUUCGCCCAACUCUACAAAAAUUCAGAACUUUAUAAGUAAGUAUAUUCACAGUCAACAAUGAAUCUACAAAGAAAGACGUCUGAUCUCACCAAUAUAACUUUCUCUUUUGUAGGAGAAACAAGGAGCUUAUCAAGGAGCUAAGCAAACCAGCUCCGGGAUCAAAAGACUUGUAUUUCCCAACACAAUACUCACAAUCUUUCUGGACACAAUGUAUGGCAUCUCUAUGGAAAC
rnacentral:lncRNA from 1 species